UGGGGAAUAUUGCACAAUGGGGGAAACCCUGAUGCAGCGACGCCGCGUGAGCGAAGAAGGUUUUCGAAUCGUAAAGCUCUGUCCUAUGAGAAGAUAAUGACGGUAUCAUAGGAGGAAGCCCCGGCUAAAUACGUGCCAGCAGCCGCGGUAAUACGUAGGUCCCGAGCGUUGUCCGGAUUUAUUGGGCGUAAAGCGAGCGCAGGCGGUUAGAAAAGUCUGAAGUGAAAGGCAGUGGCUCAACCAUUGUAGGCUUUGGAAACUGUUUAACUUGAGUGCAGAAGGGGAGAGUGGAAUUCCAUGUGUAGCGGUGAAAUGCGUAGAUAUAUGGAGGAACACCGGUGGCGAAAGCGGCUCUCUGGUCUGUAACUGACGCUGAGGCUCGAAAGCGUGGGGAGCGAACAGG
rnacentral:rRNA from 1 species